AUCCUAACUGGGAAUUCUAAAGUGGAAAGGAAAAUACUAUGACAAAACUUCAUACUGUCCCAUUGUCUGAUAGCUCUGAGAUCAUACUUUUAAAGCUUACAGGACUUUAAAAUACGAACGUCAAAGUGAAACAACUGAUGUACCUGCAAAACUAGCACCUAGCUGGACCCUUUCUGGGUGCGUGCAGUGUCAGCUCUUUUUAUGUUGUGUUUUAAGUUUUUUAUCCUGGUAUUGCAUUAAUCGUGAUCCAAUGGUUUCCUUUUAUUCUUCGUCUCAAUUUUUUUUUUGUCCUUAAGGCUACUGUGGACUUUUUAGCAAUUUGUUGUAGUUGUUGACUAUCGGCAUAUUCACCAACAGAAGUGAAACUCUUCAUAUGACAAUUAUAAAUUAAAGUGACUAAGGAGUUGAAAUUAGAACAGAAUGCAAUGUGCAGAUUAGCUCUGGCUUUUUCCUAGUAUCCCAUUAGAAUGUUAGAAGUUAUAAUGAUUACAUAUUUCAUCAUCACAUAUCUUUCGAAAUGAAGAGUAGAAUCUUAAAUGACUCUGGACUGUAGUACAGAAGCAAGGUGCCAUUUGUUUUCUUCAGUACUGGUGCUAAAUUUACCAAGAUUUACCAUCUUGCUUAGUGAACACUAGGUGGUGCUCUUGGUAAGCCAAACUUCUGGCUGAGCCAAGCCAAGUGGAUAAAAGAAACUUGCGACAACUGGAACACUAAUUACCAGUUGAUUCAUAGAUAGGAAAGAACAAGUUAUGAUCUCAAGUUCUGUGAGGGGACACGGCAGGCCAAGAAUGUGUGCUUGUUCAAACAAGGACUGAUCUACAGAACACUUUAGUCUCCCUAAACCUGUUUUCAAGCAUUUCACCUUUCACUCUAAACAUGUAACAUAGUAGUCUCCUGCAAGAAAGAAACUGGUACCCAGACAGGGCAAAACAAGAUCAUGCUCAACCGGCUAUCUAUCU
rnacentral:lncRNA from 1 species